CCUUAGUAGAAGCCCAAUGGACAUGAGAGGGCUCCCAACGAUACUUCUCUAGUACCAGGUGACUCUCGAAAUCAUUUAGUAUAUCCUGUAGAUCUUUGCGACGAUACUCUUGAUUGAUGAGAAGGAGAUGUUUCGAUGUUAUAAGAUGAUGGAAAUAAGGAGAAAGAGCUUCACUCAUGCUUCAAUGCAAUAGUUGGGAGAUGGGGAGCUCAAAUGUGUUUUUUUGAGAAUUUUUUUAGAAAAUAAAGAAGAAGGAGGAAGAGGGAAGGGUUCUGGGACGGGUUAAUGAAAGAAAGAGUUCGAAGAUGCAUA
rnacentral:lncRNA from 1 species